rnacentral:rRNA from 1 species
AGAAUCAACGCUGGCGGCGUGCCUAACACAUGCAAGUCGAUCGAGAAAGUGGAGCAAUCCAUGAGUAAAGAGGCGCACGGGUGAGUAACACGUGACUAACCUACCUUCGAGUGGGGAAUAACCUGGGGAAACCCGGGCUAAUACCGCAUAAUACCUACGGGUCAAAGGAGCAAUUCGCUUGAAGAGGGGGUCGCGGCAGAUUAGUUAGUUGGCGGGGUAAUGGCCCACCAAGACGAUGAUCUGUAUCCGGCCUGAGAGGGCGCACGGACACACUGGAACUGAAACACGGUCCAGACUCCUACGGGAGGCAGCAGUGGGGAAUUUUGCGCAAUGGGGGAAACCCUGACGCAGCAACGCCGCGUGGAGGAUGAAGUCCCUUGGGACGUUAAACUCCUUUCGACCGGGACGAUUAUGACGGUACCGGAUGGAAGAAGCCCCGGCUAACGUUCGUGCCAGCAGCCGC